CGACAAUGGGCGUGGCGUCUGCCCACGUGGCUGUUUCCCACAGUUUGAGGGCUGCCGUGGAGACCCAGGCUGGGAGUGGGCGCUAGGACUUGUGGUGCGCUGGAAACAAGUUCACGACUGCUGGCUGAUUCGGGCACAGUCAUUAACAGGGAGCAAGAUUGGAAGUGGAGCAGCGGGGACAUGAACCAGCACACACAUGGCAUGCCAGCAUUACAGAACACAAAAAUUCCUGUUGAGCAGAGCCUGAGUACAAACACAAAGUGAAAUGUACCAACAGCAGGGAUCACACCAAAGGUGAGUCCAUAGGGUGGGACCUGUGAGUCUGUGGCUGACAGUAAUACAAGUCCAAUUAGCUGCCUAAUGAACCAUUAGGAAGCUGUCUGGGGUCCAGUGAGGAAUGCACACACUUGGCUCAGCUGACUGGCAUGGUUUUGAUCAGAGUCCAAAAUGAAACAAUAGAAUUUGUUAAGUCAUUAGAUGCUUCCAUAGGUGGAUCUCUCUUUUAUCUGAGGUUCUAUAGCACUCUGUAGCUAGGUAGCCCCUGUUUCUUGCAUCAUCUGAACUUAAGUUUAGAGAAUAAAGAUGGUUUUUAUUCUUAUUUAAAAAAUAAAAACAAUAGUCACAUCAUAGAAUUAACAUAUCUAGUGUGUGUUCCUUUGACACAGGCACUAACUCCACUUUUUGUUUGCAUGCUCUGAGAAUUUUGUCCUAGACUGUUAACAGUUAAAGGGUUAUGAUGAUACACUGAUUUUCCUUCAAUAAGUUUUAUAUCCUGUUCUCCAACCAGUUACCAUUUAAGUUCAAUUAUGUGUUUUAAAAGAUUAAAUGUGCAUCACUAGUCCUUUCCUACAAAACUUGAACAUUUAUUUUCAUUUAUCUUUUAAGGAAAAAAGUUUUUGAAGAACUUUUUUGGGCUUAUUUGUUUUAGUAAAGACUAUGUGGAUAAUUUGAGAUAGAGUCAGGGUUGUUUGAC